rnacentral:rRNA from 1 species
UACGAAGGGUGCGAGCGUUAAUCGGAAUUACUGGGCGUAAAGCGUGCGCAGGCGGUUCGUUGUGUCGGCGGUGAAAGCCCCGGGCUUAACCUGGGAAUGGCCGUUGAAACUGGCGAACUGGAGUGUGGCAGAGGGGGGUGGAAUUCCGCGUGUAGCAGUGAAAUGCGUAGAGAUGCGGAGGAACACCGAUGGCGAAGGCAGCCCCCUGGGCUAACACUGACGCUCAGGCACGAAAGCGUGGGGAGCAAACAGG